rnacentral:rRNA from 1 species
UACGUAGGCGGCCAUUUAAGUUUAGCGUGAAAUCCUAGGGCUUAACCCUAGUAAGCGUUAAAAACUGGAUGGCUUGAGUGAUGGAGGGGACAGUGGAAUUCCUAGUGUAGUGGUGAAAUGCGUAGAGAUUAGGAGGAAUACCGGUGGCGAAGGCGACUGUCUGGACAUCAACUGACGCUGAGGUACGAAAGCGUGGGGAGCAAACA